CAACCCUUGACAUGGGACGUAUGGGCGGGAGAGAUCCCGUUCUUCAGUUCGGCUGGCGUCCACACAGGUGCUGCAUGGCUGUCGUCAGCCCGUGUCGUGAGAUGUUGGGUUAAGUCCCGCAACGAGCGCAACCCCUAUCUUCAGUUGCCAUCAUUUAGUUGGGCACUCUGAAGAAACUGCCGGUGACAAGCCGGAGGAAGGCGGGGAUGACGUCAAGUCCUCAUGGCCCUUACGGGUUGGGCUACACACGUGCUACAAUGGUGGUGACAAUGGGGAGCGAGGCCGCGAGGCCAAGCCAAUCUCAAAAAGCCAUCUCAGUUCGGAUUGCACUCUGCAACUCGAGUGCAUGAAGUUGGAAUCGCUAGUAAUCGUGGAUCAGCAUGCCACGGUG
rnacentral:rRNA from 1 species